UCCUGUCUCUCUCAACCGAAGAUAUGUAUCUCAUUUUUCUUCUUCUCGUGCUUCCAUAAAUCCUUGUGAAACAAGAGGAUCCACCCACUAAUCUUCAUCUUCUUCAUAUCUCUAUCAUCCUCCUCCAUUAAUGAGUUGUUGUGAGAGAAAAUAGAACCCAUUUGGUGAAGUCAUUUUCAGAUUUGAGCUAAGGGAAGAAGUAUAGUUGAGAUAGAAAGCUUGGGUUGCUUCUCUUUGGGCUGAUUGAAGCUUCAAAGAACUAGGUUGUGACUUUGUGAAAGAUCGUGACUCUGUGGACACGAGAAUUAUUGGAGGACUUUGCUUGCGAGGUACAGGAGCUGAUGGUGCUGAGGCAUCGCGUGGCAAGAGACCAGAUGAAAGAUACUACUUGACAUGAUUGUCAGGGUCUUACGGAUAUUUAGAUUUGUACAUGACAUACUUUAUUUUGGGUUGUAUGUGCCAUGUAUUUUUUGAGAGCAUAGGAGAUGUCUAUGCCAUGUUGAUAAUCUGUAUAUACUAUUAGUGAUGCAUGCU